rnacentral:rRNA from 1 species
AUUGAACGCUGGCGGCAGGCCUAACACAUGCAAGUCGAGCGAGCGGCGGACGGGUGUGAAUAGUCUGGGGAAUGCCCGAUAGAGGGGGAUAACAAUUGGAAAAGGUAGCUCAUAUCGCAUAUUACAGGAUAACACAUAUGGGAUGAGCUAGUAGGUGAGGUAAUGGCUCACCUAGGUGACGAUCCCUAGCUGGUCUGAGAGGAUGAUCAGCCACACUGGGACUGAGACACGGCCCAGACUCCUACGGAGGCAGCAGUGGGGAAUAUUGCACAAUGGGCGCAAGACUGAUGCAGCCAUGCCGCGUGUAUGAAGAAGGCCCUAGGGUUGUAAAGUACUUUCAGUCGGGAGGCGUUACCGGCAGAAGAAGCACCGGCUAACUCCGUGCCAGCAGCCGCGGUAAUAC